GAUAAACGCUAGCGGCAGGCUUAACACAUGCAAGUCGAGGGGCAGCAUAGAUUGUAGCAAUACAAUUGGUGGCGACCGGCGCACGGGUGCGUAACGCGUAUGCAACCUACCCGUCACAGGGGGAUAAUCCGGAGAAAUCUGGUCUAAUACCCCAUAACAUAUGGAUCGGCAUCGGUUCAUGUUGAAAUUUUCGGAGGUGACGGAUGGGCAUGCGUGGCAUUAGCUUGUUGGUGAGGGAACGGCUAACCAAGGCGACGAUGCUUAGGGGGACUGAGAGGUUUUCCCCCCACACUGGUACUGAGACACGGACCAGACUCCUACGGGAGGCAGCAGUGAGGAAUAUUGGUCAAUGGGCGCAAGCCUGAACCAGCCAUGCCGCGUGCAGGAUGACGGCUCUAUGAGUUGUAAACUGCCUUUGUACGAGGGUAAAGUGGGUUACGUGUAACCUUUUGAAAGUAUCGUACGAAUAAGGAUCGGCUAACUCCGUGCCAGCCGCCGCAGUAA
rnacentral:rRNA from 1 species